ensembl:lncRNA
GCGCUAUGGAAAAUCGUUAGGGGAAUACACUGUGAUAACGCGCGCUCUGAGAUUGAUAAUGGCGACAGUAACGUCGAAACCUGAAUCAGAUGGACUGAUAGUUCAGCGAGGACCGGGUCUGAGUGCCACCGGCCGGGAAGUGAGUGACACUCCUUCGCCACGGGAGGAAGACAGGCUUGGGAUAAACACAACGCAGUGAGCUGAUAUAGUGCAGGAUCAUGCCAGCCUUUUCAUGCUCGACCCACAUAUAGAACGUGGUGAGUUUUCACUUUAUUUGUCUUGGUGUUGUGCUGUAUUUCCAGCAGAAACCAGGAGCAGCAACAGAGAAAGUCUCAAAUGAGUUCCCUAUGGACAUUAUGUACUCUGCAUACCUUAUAGGGAUGAACAAUAGGAGUUCUUACUAAUGAAUACUUACCUAUUUCAGGACCUAUUUUUCCCAUUUUGCACCACAGUCAACUCCACUUGGACCAAGAGCAGGACUGGAUGCCUGAGGCAGACCCAGGAGAGGCCACAGUAUCCUAUUGUGCAUUACAAAGAAGUCCACAGGGAGCUGCAGCGAUCUAUUUUUCCACAGUAUGAUUCAUCGACAAUUUUUGUUAGAGUUCGUUACUGGUGCCAAGCUGCUACUGUGCCCUUUAUUACAUUGAGAUCACCUGAUGCUCUCCUAAUGCAAGAUACUGAGCUGCUGUGUCAUUCUGAAGUGUUCUGUCCAUCAAUCAUUUUGUUGCUCUCAGUGUCUGAAUCUUCCUGAGUCUGGAGUUCUUAUUUACAUUUGUCUCCACUUGGAAAGUUUUAAUUCUAAAGUAGCGACUUUUUAGCUUGAAUCUUUGAACUUAAAUCAAAUGUGUCUGUAGCACAUGUUGCACAUAUUCAGUAAGCUGUACUUAGCAUAAAGAGUCAGUUUCAUCAUAAAUAAGGAAAACAGUUCUAUUUUUUGUUUCAAAGUCAUUAUCUAAAAGUUAAAGGGAUGUCCAUCAAAAAUGCUUUUAUGUAAUUUCAGCAACACAGCACGAGUUCUCCUUCUGAAAAAG